AGUGAACGCUGGCGGUAGGCCUAACACAUGCAAGUCGAACGGCAGCACAGUAAGAGCUUGCUCUUACGGGUGGCGAGUGGCGGACGGGUGAGGAACACAUCGGAAUCUACUUUUUCGUGGGGGAUAACGUAGGGAAACUUACGCUAAUACCGCAUACGACCUACGGGUGAAAGCAGGGGAUCUUCGGACCUUGCGCGAUUGAAUGAGCCGAUGUCGGAUUAGCUAGUUGGCGGGGUAAAGGCCCACCAAGGCGACGAUCCGUAGCUGGUCUGAGAGGAUGAUCAGCCACACUGGAACUGAGACACGGUCCAGACUCCUACGGGAGGCAGCAGUGGGGAAUAUUGGACAAUGGGCGCAAGCCUGAUCCAGCCAUACCGCGUGGGUGAAGAAGGCCUUCGAGUUGUAAAGACCUUUUGUUGGGAAAGAAAAGCAGCAGGUUAAUACCCCGCUGUUCUGACGGUACCCAAAGAAUAAGCACCGGCUAACUUCGUG
rnacentral:rRNA from 1 species